rnacentral:rRNA from 1 species
UACGUAGGGGGCAAGCGUUGUCCGGAAUCAUUGGGCGUAAAGAGCGUGUAGGCGGUUCAGUAAGUCUGCUGUGAAAGUCCAGGGCUCAACCCUGGGAUGCCGGUGGAUACUGCUGGGCUAGAGUACGGAAGAGGAGAAUGGAAUUCCCGGUGUAGCGGUGAAAUGCGCAGAUAUCAGGAGGAACACCGGUGGCGAAGGCGGGUCUCUGGGCAGUAACUGACGCUGAGGAACGAAAGCGUGGGUAGCAAACAGG